rnacentral:lncRNA from 1 species
CAAGAAAACUUUUUGACUACUGUGAUAUCCCUCUCUGUGCAUCCUCUUCAUUUGAUUGUGGGAAGCCUCAAGUGGAGCCGAAGAAAUGUCCUGGAAGCAUUGUAGGGGGGUGUGUGGCCCACCCACAUUCCUGGCCCUGGCAAGUCAGUCUCAGAACAAGGUUUGGAAAGCACUUCUGUGGAGGCACCUUAAUAUCCCCAGAGUGGGUGCUGACUGCUGCUCACUGCUUGAAGAAGUCCUCAAGGCCUUCAUCCUACAAGGUCAUCCUGGGUGCACACCAAGAAGUGAACCUCGAAUCUCAUGUUCAGGAAAUAGAAGUGUCUAGGCUGUUCUUGGAGCCCACACAAGCAGAUAUUGCCUUGCUAAAGCUAAGCAGGCCUGCCGUCAUCACUGACAAAUGACAAAUUCUGUAUUAAGGUGUCAUAGCUAUGACAUUUGUUAAAAAUAAACUCUGCACUUAUUUUG